rnacentral:tRNA from 1 species
GCAGCAGUAGCUCAAUUGGUAGAGCGGUAUCAAAUACACAAAAGCCAGUAACUUGGUACUAGAUGGAAGUUCGAAUCUUCUCUGCUGCA